UACGAAGGGGGCUAGCGUUGCUCGGAAUCACUGGGCGUAAAGGGUGCGUAGGCGGGUCUUUAAGUCAGGGGUGAAAUCCUGGAGCUCAACUCCAGAACUGCCUUUGAUACUGGCAAUCUCGAGUCCGGAAGAGGUUGGUGGAACAGCUAGUGUAGAGGUGAAAUUCGUAGAUAUUAGCUAGAACACCAGUGGCGAAGGCGGCCAACUGGUCCGGUACUGACGCUGAGGUGCGAAAGCGUGGGGAGCAAACAGG
rnacentral:rRNA from 1 species